rnacentral:misc_RNA from 1 species
AUUUUUUUCUCCUUUUCCUUGGUAGCUGGGAAAUGAUUUUCAUCAACAGUAAAAUCCAAAUAACUUUGACUACAGAGAAAAAAUACUGCAGAAUAAUACUAGGAAUGCCUAAUGCAUGCAGUUUGCUUCUACAAUCAAUACAACUCCCAAUCAUAAUGCACUGUGUCAAAACAAUAUAUGAUGCUAGCCGAUGCACAUUUGGACAACUCUAAAGCACAUAGCCAAUGAUAAUGUUCCAGCAUCUAGCGAAGUGAUGAAAAAUGCUAUCAUUUGCAACAGGUUGCUAAAUAAAAUAAUUGCAGGUCAAAACAAUUUAAGAGGAACAGCGACCACAAUGCACAAUUUAAAAUAACCAAAAAUAAAAUCAAAG